GAUGAAGAACGCAGUGAAAUGCGAUACUUGGUGUGAAUUGCAGAAUCCCGUGAACCAUCGAGUCUUUGAACGCAAGUUGCGCCCGAAGCCAUCAGGUUGAGGGCACGUCUGCCUGGGCGUCACAUAUCGUUGCCCAAUGCCUAUUGCAGUGCAAUAGGAAUUUCUAGGGCGAAUGAUGGCUUCCCGUGAGCGUUGUUGCCUCGCGGUUGGUUGAAAAUCGAGUCCUUGGUAGGGUGUGCCAUGGUAGAUGGUGGUCGAGUCAGAACGAUACCGAUCAUGUGCAUGCUCCCCAAAAUAUGGCCUCUAUGACCCACACGCGUCUUUUGACGCUCAUGACGAGACCUCAGGUCAGGCGGGGCUACCCGCUGAAUUUAAGCAUAUCAAUAAGCGGAGGA
rnacentral:misc_RNA from 1 species